rnacentral:rRNA from 1 species
GACGAACGCUGGCGGCGUGCUUAACACAUGCAAGUCGAACGGAAAGGCCCUGCUUUUGUGGGUUGCUCGAGUGCCGAACGGGUGAGUAACACGUGAGUAACCUGCCCUUGACUUUGUGAUAACUCCAGGAAACUCGGGCUAAUACCGGAUAUGAGCUCCUGCUCCAUGGUGGGGGUUGGACAGUUUCGGCGGUUGGGGAUGGACUCGCGGCUUAUCAGCUUGUUGGUGGGGUAGUGGCCUACCAAGGCUUCGACGGGUAGCCGGCCUGAGCGGGUGACCGGCCACAUGGGGACUGAGAUACGGCCCAGACUCCAACGGGAGGCAGCAGUGGGGAAUAUUGCACAAUGGGCGGAAGCCUGAUGCAACAACGCCGCGUGCGGGAUGACGGCCUUCGGGUUGUAAACCGCUUUCGCCUGUGACGAAGCGUGAGUGACGGUAAUCGGUAAAGAAGCACGGGCUAACUACGUG